GUCAGAAGCAUCCCUACUAUUAUAGUGUUCUCUGCUUCAAAAUUUUAGAGACUCUCUGACCUCAAAUGGACUGCCUGAUGAUUCCAGGUUUGGGCUAGGGUCCCUGCUGAAGGGCUGGGGCCCCGGACAUCAGUGAACACUGGAAAAGGUGAAGGUCUCGCUUUCCUCCGGCUCAAGGUCCUCAACAACAGAAUACUAUGUUUCUCUUGGCCCCUUCAUAUAACAGAGAGGAGAAGCAGGAAUAGGAGGUGGCAUCCCAGUUAGUAACUUUGAUGUGCCGGGAUUCAAUCACAGACCCGUCUGCCAGCACAGUGCCGAGAGCUGCGGAGAUGAAUAAGUCUUCAUUCUAACCAACCAAGUCCAAGGACUGUCUUCACUGUGUGACCAGCCAUGCUCCUGUCGUAGCUACUGCUCCUCACUCACACGGGACCAUAGACUGCUUCUUUCUCAGCUGAACUGAAAGUGUAAAACUGUUUUCCUAUUUUUUCUCCUCUUAACCAGCAUAGUGCAAAAUCCUAAAAUAACUAUUGGUUAGCACUGAAGACAGAAACAAAGAUAAUGGCUCAAAUAUUAUUUCUUUCUUAUGAAUAAUAUAUUGGUUUUCUAUAAAAAUUGACACUGGCAGUGACAUUUCCAUCAGAAAGAUAUUAAAAUUCUUUCCAUGAAGACAC
rnacentral:lncRNA from 1 species